rnacentral:rRNA from 1 species
ACGGGAGGCAGCAGUGAGGAAUCUUCCACAAUGGGCGAAAGCCUGAUGGAGCGACACCGCGUGAAGGAUGAAGGCCUAACGGUUGUAAACUUCUUUUCUGAAGGAGCAUAAUGAGAGUACUUCAGGAAUAAGGGACGGCUAAAUACGUGCCAGCAGCCGCGGUAAUACGUAUGUCUCGAGCGUUACCCGGAAUCACUGGGUGUAAAGGGUUUGUAGGCGGCUUGUUAAGUUGGAUAUGAAAGACCGGAGCUCAACUCCGAGUUUGUGUUCAAAACUGGCAAGCUAGAAUCAAGGAGAGGUAAGCGGAAUUCUAAGUGUAGGGGUGCAAUCCGUAGAUACUUAGAGGAACACCAAAAGCGAAGGCAGCUUACUGGAAUUGUAUUGACGCUGAGGAACGAAAGCGUGGGGAGCGAAAAGGAUUAGAUACCCUUGUAGUCCACGCCCUAAACGAUGAUAACUAAGUGUUGUGUUUUCGGAUGCAGUGCUGUAGCUAACGCGUUAAGUUAUCCACCUGAGGAGUACGGUCGCAAGAUUAAAACUCAAAUGAAUUGACGGGGGCCCGCACAAGCGGUGGAGCAUGUGGUUUAAUUCGAUGCAACGCGAAGAACCUUACCUACACUUGACAUGCUGAGAAGUUACUAGAGAUAGUUUCGUGCCUUCGGGAACUCAGACACAGGUGCUGCAUGGCUGUCGUCAGCUCGUGCCGUGAGGUGUUGGGUUAAGUCCCGCAACGAGCGCAACCCUUAUCCUUAGUUGCUAGCAGGUUAUGCUGAGAACU